ensembl:rRNA 5S_rRNA 5S ribosomal RNA
GCUUACGGCCAUACCACCCUGAACACGCCCGAUCUCGUCCGAUCUCGGAAGCUAAGCAGGGUCGGCCUGGUUAGUACUUGGAUGGGAGACCGCCUGGGAAUACCAGGUGCUGUAAGCU